rnacentral:rRNA from 1 species
ACGGAAGGCAGCAGUGGGGUAUAUCGCACAAUGGGGGAAACCCUGAUGCAGCGACGCCGCGUGAGUGAAGAAGUAUUUCGGUAUGUAAAGCUCUAUCAGCAGGGAAGAAAAUGACGGUACCUGACUAAGAAGCUCCGGCUAAAUACGUGCCAGCAGCCGCGGUAAUACGGAGGAUGCAGGCGUUAUCCGGAUUUAUUAGGUUUAAAGGGUGCGCAGGCGGGUCAUUAAGCCGGCGGUGAAAUACCGUGGCCCAACCACGGGGCUGCCGUCGAUACUGAUGACCUAGAGUGCGUGUGACGUAGGCGGAAUGUGGAGUGUAGCGGUGAAAUGCUUAGAUAUUCCACAGAACACCGAUUGCGAAGGCAGCCUACGAAUGCGUAACUGACGCUCAUGCACGAAAGCGCGGGUAGCGAACAGGAUUAGAUACCCUGGUA